rnacentral:rRNA from 1 species
AGAGUUUGAUCAUGGCUCAGGACGAACGCUGGCGGCGUGCUUAACACAUGCAAGUCGAACGGAAAGGCCCUUCGGGGUACUCGAGUGGCGAACGGGUGAGUAACACGUGGGUGAUCUGCCCUGCACUUUGGGAUAAGCCUGGGAAACUGGGUCUAAUACCGAAUAGGACCACGCGCUUCAUGGUGUGUGGUGGAAAGCUUUUGCGGUGUGGGAUGGGCCCGCGGCCUAUCAGCUUGUUGGUGGGGUAAUGGCCUACCAAGGCGACGACGGGUAGCCGGCCUGAGAGGGUGACCGGCCACACUGGGACUGAGAUACGGCCCAGACUCCUACGGGAGGCAGCAGUGGGGAAUAUUGCACAAUGGGCGCAAGCCUGAUGCAGCGACGCCGCGUGAGGGAUGACGGCCUUCGGGUUGUAAGCCUCUUUCAAUAGGGACGAAGCGCAAGUGACGGUACCUAUAGAAGAAGCACCGGCCAACUACGUGCCAGCAGCCGCGGUAAUACGUAGGGUGCGAGCGUUGUCCGGAAUUACUGGGCGUAAAGAGCUCGUAGGUGGUUUGUCGCGUUGUUCGUGAAAACUCACAGCUUAACUGUGGGCGUGCGGGCGAUACGGGCAGACUAGAGUACUGCAGGGGAGACUGGAAUUCCUGGUGUAGCGGUGGAAUGCGCAGAUAUCAGGAGGAACACCGGUGGCGAAGGCGGGUCUCUGGGCAGUAACUGACGCUGAAGAGCGAAAGCGUGGGGAGCGAACAGGAUUAGAUACCCUGGUAGUCCAA